rnacentral:rRNA from 1 species
UACGUAGGGGGGCUAGCGUUGUCCGGAAUCAUUGGGCGUAAAGAGCGUGUAGGCGGCUUGGUAAGUCCGCUGUGAAAGUCCAGGGCUCAACCCUGGAAUGCCAGUGGAUACUGUCAAGCUAGAGUCCGGAAGAGGCGAGUGGAAUUCCUGGCGUAGCGGUGAAAUGCGCAGAUAUCAGGAGGAACACCAAUGGCGAAGGCAGCUCGCUGGGGACGGUACUGACGCUGAGAACGCGAAAAGCGUGGGAGCAAACAGG